CUCGUUAAUGCAUGGCUUGACAAGUCAAGGGUUGCCACUGAUGAAUAUGAAAGCCACUUUGGAAGUUGACCUUCAAUUCCUGUGUUAGCCAAUUUUAACUGAAAAACUCUCAAUUUGGAAAAUCAUUUAGGUACUUUGGUUAGUCCUAGUGGGUUGAAUGACAAGUCUAAGGUUUGCAAACUCUGUAGUUUAGCAAGUUGAGAGGGAAGUCUACCAGAAAUUCAGUUCCUUGACAAAUCAAGUGUUUGAAGGUUAAUUAAAUUGUCAAAGGAUGGUGGAAUUUUGCCACUGAAUUCAUUGUUUGCAAAAAAGAAAUCAGUUAAAUUGGUUAGAUGGCCAAUGGUGGCAGCUGUUGGAGCUGGACUUACUGGAAGCAAAAUGACUAGGAGAGUUGGGGGUGUUGAUGAGUUUGAAUUCAAGGCCAUAGGAGAAAACCAUAACCAAGGCUUUACUCACGAAAGGAUUAGCUGGAAUCCAACCUGUCGAUAUUCUUGGGAUUUCGAAAAUGUUGCGUGAUGUUUUGUGUUCAGGUUCACUAGCCCUUUCUUCCACUGCAAAAAUUGGGUCAACCACUUCAACGGCUGGCAGAAGAACGUAAGCAGAGAAACAGAACACCUCCAUUAAAGGUCACUGUAUCUGUAUGCAAGAAAUGUAGUUAUAUACAGGAUAGUAUGUAUCCAAUUGAAGUUGGUCUAAGAUCUUUUGUGUAGCCCACAGAUAAGACGAAUGGCCUUCGAUGUGUUCUGUCACAUCGACCUGCAAUACAAAAACAAACACUCAUUCAACUAAACAUAAAUAUUCAUAAUUUAUGAAUGAUAUCA